GUACGAUCGACGACUCCUGCCCUCGAGCGAGGUCUCCCUUCGCCGCCGCCCUUCAUCCCUUCGCCGCCGCCGCUCCACCCAGAGCCGCCCUCUUCCCUCCCACGCCGAGCCACCGUCUUCCCCGCCCGCGCCGCUCUCUUCCCCGCCCGCGCUGCCCUCCACUCACCUUCUGUUCUUCAAGCGGGGACGCCCCAGAUCAAGUCGAGCAAGUCAGCGGGGCAGCGGCCAGAUCCUCCACGGCCACAUCUCCUUGGUGUUGUUGUCCUCAAUAGGCUAAUGACUCGAGGCAUGCUGCUAGCACAAUUACAGAAGGCCAUACAGUCAGCGGCAAAGUGCUCGCCGUCGCUAAUGAUUGAUUGCUGA
rnacentral:rRNA from 1 species